rnacentral:rRNA from 1 species
GGUGGUGCAUGGUUGUCGUCAGCUCGUGUCGUGAGAUGUUGGGUUAAGUCCCGCAACGAGCGCAACCCUUAAGCUUAGUUGCCAUCAUUAAGUUGGGCACUCUAGGUUGACUGCCGGUGACAAACCGGAGGAAGGUGGGGAUGACGUCAAAUCAUCAUGCCCCUUAUGAUUUGGGCUACACACGUGCUACAAUGGACAAUACAAAGGGCAGCUAAACCGCGAGGUCAUGCAAAUCCCAUAAAGUUGUUCUCAGUUCGGAUUGUAGUCUGCAACUCGACUACAUGAAGCUGGAAUCGCUAGUAAUCGUAGAUCAGCAUGCUACGGUGAAUACGUUCCCGGGUCUUGUACACAC